rnacentral:rRNA from 1 species
AUUGAACGCUGGCGGCAGGCCUAACACAUGCAAGUCGAGCGGUAGAGAGGUGCUUGCAUCUCUUGAGAGCGGCGGACGGGUGAGUAAUGCCUAGGAAUCUGCCUGGUAGUGGGGGAUAACGUUCGGAAACGGACGCUAAUACCGCAUACGUCCUACGGGAGAAAGCAGGGGACCUUCGGGCCUUGCGCUAUCAGAUGAGCCUAGGUCGGAUUAGCUAGUUGGUGAGGUAAUGGCUCACCAAGGCGACGAUCCGUAACUGGUCUGAGAGGAUGAUCAGUCACACUGGAACUGAGACACGGUCCAGACUCCUACGGGAGGCAGCAGUGGGGAAUAUUGGACAAUGGGCGAAAGCCUGAUCCAGCCAUGCCGCGUGUGUGAAGAAGGUCUUCGGAUUGUAAAGCACUUUAAGUUGGGAGGAAGGGUACUUACCUAAUACGUGAGUAUUUUGACGUUACCGACAGAAUAAGCACCGGCUAACUCUGUGCCAGCAGCCGCAGUAACAC